rnacentral:rRNA from 1 species
CGGCGAGUGAGAGGGAAGAGCCCAAGAUUGAAAGCUGGCGUCUUCGGCGUCCGCAUUGUAAUCUCAAGAAGUGUUUCCCGCUUCGGACCAAGCCUAAGUCCCCUGGAAAGGGGCAUCAUAGAGGGUGAUAAUCCCGUACAUGGCUUGGAGCGCCCGAGGCUUUGUGAUACGCUUUCUAAGAGUCGAGUUGUUUGGGAAUGCAGCUCAAAAUGGGUGGUAAAUGCCAUCUAAGGCUAAAUAUUGGGGAGAGACCGAUAGCGAACAAGUACAGUGAUGGAAAGAUGAAAAGAACUUUGAAAAGAGAGUUAAACAGUACGUGAAAUUGCCAAAAGGGAAGGGUAGGAGGUCAGAGAUGCGGCCUGGGAUUCAGCCUUGCUUUUGCUUGGUGUUUUUCCCAGAUUGCAGGCCAACGUCGGUUUUGGGCACUGGAGAAGGGUAGGAGGAACGUGGCACCCCUCGGGGUGUGUUAUAGCCUCCUACUGGAUACAGCGACCGAGACCGAGGACAGCAGCGUACUCGCAAGAGCGGGCCUUCGGGCACCUUUACGCUUAGGGCGUUGGCAUAAUGGCCCUCUACCACCCGUCUUGA